rnacentral:rRNA from 1 species
CCUACGGGUGGCAGCAGUGGGGAAUAUUGGGCAAUGGGCGCAAGCCUGACCCAGCAACGCCGCGUGAAGGAAGAAGGCUUUCGGGUUGUAAACUUCUUUUAAGGGGGAAGAGCAGAAGACGGUACCCCUUGAAUAAGCCUCGGCUAACUACGUGCCAGCAGCAGCGGUAAUACGUAGGUGGCAAGCGUUGUCCGGGUUUACUGGGUGUAAAGGGCGUGCAGGCGGAGAUGCAAGUCAGGCGUGAAAUCCACGGGCUCAACCCGUGAACUGCAUUUGAAACUGUUUCCCUUGAGUGUCGGAGAGGUAAUCGGAAUUCCAUGUGUAGCGGUGAAAUGCGUAGAUAUAAGGAAGAACACCAGUGGCGAAGGCGGAUUACUGGACGAAAACUGACGGUGAGGCGCGAAAGCGUGGGGAGCAAACAGGAUUAGAUACCCUAGUAGUC